CGGUGAAGACGACGACGUUGAUAGGCCGGGUGUGUAAGCGCAGCGAUGCGUUGAGCUAACCGGUACUAAUGAACCGUGAGGCUUAACCUUACAACGCCGAAG
rnacentral:rRNA from 1 species